AAACAAACGUAAAGGCUCCGGGAGGGGGAAAUGGUAAGGGGGUUAGUAACUGACAGCUCGGCCUCCAAGCAAGAAGCUUCAAGUAGGUCAGACGGUGUCGACGGCUGGAAAUCCAGGGUCCACCCCAGUGGGCUUAGGGGAGGAGAGCAGCAGGAGGUGUAACUUCUUUUCUCACUACUUUGUUUCCCACAACACUUGGAAAAGGAUGUGUACUCCAUUUAGGCAGAAAUAACUCCCAAGAAUCAAUCAUUUUCACAAGCAGUAAUUUCGUACUGCAACCACAAGCCUCCAACAGGAUAGAGACAGCAUGAAUUCAAAGGAAUGGAAUUAGGAGUUCAGGCCUCUAUGUCCAGCAAACAAGGCUACCACUAGCAUGAACGGGGAACAAGACUGAACUGACCCGGAGUGUGCACGCAAUCAUCUUCAACUAGACAGGCAAGCUUAUGGGGAUCGUGUUGCCACACAUUAGUCAGAAUCCAAGAAUCAGGACUCUGAUGAAAAGCCAGAUACACCUAAGUGGGCGCUCAGGUCCCAAGCACCGCCCCUUUAUCCGGAAGUAAAGGGGAAUCGUGGCCUACCUCACUGUCUUGGAUGUUCUCCUCACAGCCGGGCAGGGCCCGACACACAGCUUCCGUGCACUGAGGACACAGCCACGCCAGGUCUCGGAAAGCCUGCACCACCACUGCAGCACAGCUCAGGACACAAGAGCACAGCUCUCUAGCUGUUUGGUGUAGGCUCUCAUGAAGGAAAAGCAGCAGACACCUACCAAUGGCGAGGAUGGCGGCCUGCGCAAAGUCGGCGGACACGUCGGUGCAGUACCCCCGAAGCUCCUCCAGCACCUGCUGCAC